rnacentral:rRNA from 1 species
AUACGGAGGGUCCGAGCGUUAUCCGGAAUCAUUGGGUUUAAAGGGUCCGUAGGCGGGAAUCUAAGUCAGUGGUGAAAUCUUGCAGCUCAACUGUAAAAUUGCCAUUGAUACUGGAUUUCUUGAAUUAGUGUGAAGUGGUUAGAAUGUGUAGUGUAGCGGUGAAAUGCAUAGAUAUUACACAGAAUACCAAUUGCGAAGGCAGAUCACUAACACUAUAUUGACGCUAAGGGACGAAAGCGUGGGGAGCGAACAGGAUUAGAAACCCCUGUAGUCC